rnacentral:rRNA from 1 species
AUGAAGAAGCAACUAUUUGAGAAGGCCAUUCUCGGAAAGGUCAAGGCAUAUACAUAUGUCGUAGAGUUCCAAAAGAGGGGAUUACCCCAUGCUCAGUUUUUGCUCAUCAUGACUGGAAAAUACAAAUACACAUGUCCGGAAAAGUAUGAACAAAUCAUCUCCGCUGAGCUCCCUAACAAGCACAAAUGCCAACUAGAUAAUAGGUGGGUGGUUCCUUACAACCCAUAUCUUUUGCGGAUGUUCAACUGCCACAAAAAUGUUGAGAUAUGCUCAAGCAUUAAAGGCAUUAAGUACUUGUUCAAGUACAUCUAUAAGGGACAUGACCGAGCAUCUAUAUCUAUAACUGACAAAGUAGGUGAAGUCAAAAUUGACGAGAUUAAACAGUAUAGAGAUGCGCGGUGGGUGACACCUCCGGGAGCACUGUGGAGAAUAUAUGGCUUUGAAUUAAGCAAAAUACACCCACCAGUCUUGCAACUGCAGCUACAUCUUCCAAAUAUGCACAUGGUUUCAUACCAUGGCAUGGAAAAAAUAAAGAAUAUUAUCAACCGUGAUGGCACAGAAAGAUCAAUGUUGACUGCAUACUUUGAAGCAAACAGCUUACAUGAGAAAGCACGAGGCAUACUAUACAGAGACUUUCCGGAAUAUUAUACUUGGCAAAGACAAGGGAAGUUUUGCCAGGAAAGGAAACGAGAAGCUGUGUUCCAGGUUGGCAGGAUGGUCUUGGCACACCCGGCUAAAGGAGAACGAUAUUAUCUUCGGGUACUCCUAAACCACGUUACAAGCGGCACCAACUAUGAAGAACUAUGA